AAAAACGACUCUCGGCAACGGAUAUCUCGGCUCUUGCAUCGAUGAAGAACGUAGCGAAAUGCGAUACUUGGUGUGAAUUGCAGAAUCCCGUGAACCAUCGAGUCUUUGAACGCAAGUUGCGCCCAAAGCCAUUUGGUUGAGGGCACGCCUGCCUGGGUGUUGUG
rnacentral:rRNA from 1 species